UAGCUGCGUUAUGUAGCGCGAAUUGCAGACACAUUGAGCGCUAAGAUUUCGAACGCACAUUGCGCCUUCGGGGUCAUUCCCGUUGGCACGUCUGGCUGAGGGUCGAUCGGAACGAAUCUGACCGCAUAGCGUAAACCGGUGUACCUAGUCAAUCAGAGAGGCGGAUUGACUAG
rnacentral:misc_RNA from 1 species